UAUGUUUGUGUAACAGGUUUCAAUUAA
rnacentral:sRNA from 1 species